ensembl:lncRNA
GGAGAAGAAGAGCAGAUGUUGGUCACGGUCCCUCGAGCCCGUCUCCCUGCUGGGAGUCCUGUGUUCCACGCAGGCAAAACCAGGCGAACUCUUGAUUCCAGCUCUGUUCGGUUCUACCCAUUUGAAAAGGCAGAAACGGAGGUUCAGGUGUAUACACUGUCUUGCCCAAGGUCAGGCAACUCGUUGAGGUGAUGGAAUUUUCCAACAGACUCCAAGUUCCACGGAGAGAGGCUGGGAAACCUGUGCUCCUCUGGGUGCCUAGAAAGAGCUCUCAGCACUGCCUGUGCAGCAGUAGGUGUGCAGUCUGAGCCCUGCUUCCUGCACUAGACGUUGACUGGCAUGUCUUUCAAAAGGCCGUGAGGCCCUGGAUUCAAGGGUGAUGAAUCAGAGACUGCACUUGUCUCUCAGUAGAGUCAAUGGAUCCAGACCGCAGCACUCAGGGCUACUACCGACAAAAGAAGUGGUAGGUCAGCUUUCAAAAUGAGAAGAAGCUCCAAGAAGAGCAGUGAGGGUGCGGAGUCCCCCAAGGUGUCUCUCUUCCCACCCACCACCCCUCAACACACACACACACACAAGUCCAUUCCAUCUCUCUGUACCCGAAGGCAUCUCGUGUAAGCAGUCUGGGAGCUUCUAACUUUGGAGGGAGAGCUGAUCCAGACUCUUGCAUCAAUUCUCCCACCCAUGUUCACAGAACAGGGAAGUGGGGCUAUUCAAGCACAGCAGAGCUGGGGCAGAUUUGUCAAAUCAUUCAGCUGCAGAGGUGAGACCUGAUGUCAUCAUCAAACACUCUUUGAUUGUUGUAUAGGGAAUGAGUUAGCUGAGUGGAAUAUGAAGCCAACUCUCUGGAUUCAAAUCCUACUAUUGCCACUCUUCUGAAUCUGCUUCCUUGUGCUUUAGUUUCUUCCUUUAUAAAAUGUGAUUACAAAUCCUGACCUCACGGGACUCUCUAAAGGAUUUAAUGAAAUAUUCCUUGUAAAGUGUUUAACAUGGUAAGAGCUUAAUAAAUGUCAACUGAUAUUAUUUCCUACUUAGUCUUAAGGGAAAGUCUAAUUUUCCUCCAUAACGCAAGGAUGGAUUGAUCUCUCAGCUGAGUGUGAUCUUGUCUUUCUAUGCUCCUAGUUCCUAGUCCUUUCUUUUAGUAAUUUGGACAGUAUUUUAGUUCUCAUAUAUAAGGUGGAUUAGAUGUACUCUUCCAGAGAGAGCUAAUCCUUAUGUAACUCAGAUAGCAACCUUGUACAAACCACUGUGUUUGGUACUGUGGAAAACACACAAUAAGCACUUAAUCAAUGUUUUAAUUGAACUAUUCUCUGGCUUCAGCAGAAAGGAGGCUCACCGAAGGUAAAUGCAGC